UACGAAGGGGGCUAGCGUUGUUCGGAAUUACUGGGCGUAAAGCGCACGUAGGCGGAUAUUUAAGUCGGGGGUGAAAUCCCGGGGCUCAACCCCGGAACUGCCUUCGAUACUGGGUAUCUUGAGUUCGGAAGAGGUCAGUGGAAUUCCGAGUGUAGAGGUGAAAUUCGUAGAUAUUCGGAAGAACACCAGUGGCGAAGGCGGCUGACUGGACAUGUAUUGACGCUGAGGUGCGAAAGCGUGGGGGAGCAAACAGG
rnacentral:rRNA from 1 species